GGUUCCAAACUAAUCCACGACUAGGUGAAUUCGUCAUUGCCUAACCGCAAAUAUGCAAGGGUCCACUGACCACCACAGCCAUUUAAACAUUGUUUUCUGCCUGUGUCAUAGGAACACUUUUCGUAUGAUUGAGCAGGAUGACUUUGACAUCAGCUCCAAACUGCACACAAUUGUUCGAGGGGAGGAUGAGGCAGCCAUGGUGGAGAGUGUUGGGCUUGCUCUGGUCAAACUUCCAGAUGUCCUACAAAGAUUGCGCCCGGAUCUUGUCAUUAUCCAUGGAGAUCGUUUUGAUGCACUGGCUCUAGCAACUUCUGCUGCACUGAUGAACAUUAGGAUACUUCACUUAGAGGGAGGAGAGGUGAGUGGCACAAUUGACGACUCAAUCCGCCACGCCAUCAGUAAACUGGCCCAUUAUCAUGCCUGCUGCACACGGAGGGCAGAGCAACACCUCAUUUCCAUGUGUGAGGACCACUCUCGAAUCCUACUGGCUGGCUGUCCCUCCUAUGACAAGCUGCUGUCACCUCAUAACUCGGAAGUCUAUUUGGAUAUCAUCAAGAGCUGGUUGGGUAUGUCAGACACUCUAGAUAUACUGUAACUGUCAGGGUUCCGACACAAGUUUUGAAAAGUAUGGAAUUUGAUUUCUUAAAUCUCAAGGAAUAGAAAAAUAUGGAAAACAUUUUAUGGAAAUAUAUUCAUGUUUACAAGACUCCUACAAGAGCCUUGAUCUCUUAAAAAAAGAAUUUAAAAAAGUGAAUAUCCAUCCAUCCUUUAUCCAAACUGCUUAUCAUCACAAGAGAUUGUUUUUCGUAAAAGUCUGGAAAAAUAAUCGAAUUUUGAAAUCUCAUGUGUGUAGGAACCCUGAACUGUUGUAAGACAGCAGUAGAAAGUCACACACAAACCAAGUUAGGUCAUUCUUGUUUUUUUUUUUUUUUUUACAUUCCAUCCCGAAUCCACGUUUUUUUCCCCCUUUUGUUUUUUGUUAAUUGAAGAAACAGAAGAAUGAAAAAGGAAAGAGGCUAAACUUAGUUCUCAGGGACAUCACAAAACGAAAAAAAAAUAGUAGCAUUAAGCAUUUAAGAUAUUGUAAAUAUGAAAGUGUCAAUUCAGAAAAUUGUAAAAUUCUAAUUAUUUAUGAUCAGUAUGUUGUGUUUAUUUUUUAUUUGUUUUUUUUUUGAGAGGGGGUGUAAUUGAACUGUUUUGGUUAUGGGGGAUUUUAAAGCAUUUUUGUAAGAGCAAAGACUUUUCUCAGGUGCUCCUGUGUACAUUUCUGUUUUGCUAUAUUUUACUGUUACUGUGUUUUGUUGUUGUUUUUAGCUUUGCAAGGAAAAAAAAUGUUUAAAAAAAACAAAGAAGCAGCAGCAACAGCGUGUAAAUUGAGGAAAAUGGGCACAGUUGCAUACUUAAACCUGACUAUGCAGAACCACUCGGAUGGGCUUCUCAAGACGGCUCCUUAAGUGCGCAAGCUGCUGAGACGCAGUGGACCGAACCACCCCAAGAGAGGCGGCUGGGGGGGGGAAAGCAACCAAGCCGAGGUCCGGCCUGCGUUGCCACUGGGACAAUGAACAAGUCGCUGACUUGGCUUUCUUGCAGCAUAUGGGUGACAGCGAAACAUUUAAACUGGGAAAAUGCCUUUCUGACCUAUCAAUGUACAAAGUAGUUUUGCUUGACUUCUUUGUGAGGUUUGAUUCAAUCAGGACUUAAACGCCUUUAGUGUCUUCUCGAGGUGUCAUGUGGUGGCGCUUAUAGCCGCAAAAGAGAGAACAACCCCGAAACGUCACAAAAAGCAACGAGGAACUAGUGGGAUGGCCUUUUGGAUGACCUCAAUCCUUCGUCUUGAAUCUAUUGUUUGAUAUCAUCUUCGGUCCAAUUGUUUUGUGGCGGGGCCCGUUCCCCCGUUCCGCAAGCUGCUAGCCUCGGUGCGGCCGACUUGAAGCAGCAUCGCCGACAUCGAUGCUUUGCAGCAGACUCGAUCUAAGCAGGUGCUGCAUCAUUUAGAAGGUGGCAACUUCCGCACAAAGCGAACGUCCACUCGACGACACGAACACGUGACCGGGGCAGGUACUUGCGCCCGUUGCUUGAACAGGAAGCUGCCGAAAGCUGCCUUUCCCGCCAUUCGUCUUGUCAAACCGACAGCAUCGUGACUUCCUCUGUCUAGCUUUGUUUGUUUACGCUUGCAGGAGGAAGAGGAGCUUUGCGUAUUUUUCCACAUCCGUUCCCCUUUUUUUUUUUCUUGCGUUUGUAGGCGAGUACUGUUUGCCGGUAGCAUUCAUUCAUUCGGUCACCCACUGUUUUUCCCGUUUAUGUUGUUGUGGAUUGUUUCCAACUCAAGGGAAUAUUGAAAGUGUUUGUUGCCUCUUCGUGCUACUGAUUUUAAAAAGGUAUUUUCCAGUAUUUGUUGCCACAGAAGUAUGAUAGCUUAACAUCACUUUUUUAUUUGUAAUUUGUUGGGGGGAAGGGUGCGGAUUCUUGAGCUACUGUCUAUAAAGCAAGAAUUUAUUACUAUUUAUGUAUCGCUACUACCAUUUUAUAUUGAUUUGUGUUGGACUCUCAGUGCUUUUCUAUGAAUAAAAGUGUGAAACACGUUA